rnacentral:rRNA from 1 species
UGCGUAGGUCCCGAGCGUUAUCCGGAUUUACUGGGUGUAAAGGGAGCGUAGGCGGCGCGUUAAGUCUGAUGUGAAAACCCGAGGCUCAACCACGGGAGUGCAUUGGAAACUGGCGGGCUGGAGUGCCGGAGAGGUAAGCGGAAUUCCUAGUGUAGCGGUGAAAUGCGUAGAUAUUAGGAGGAACACCAGUGGCGAAGGCGGCUUACUGGACGGCAACUGACGCUGAGGCUCGAAAGCGUGGGGAGCAAACAGG